UCCCUGGUGGUCCUGGUUAGGACUCUGCACUUUCACUGCUGAGGGUGCAGGUUCAAUCCCUGGUCGGGGUA
rnacentral:tRNA from 1 species